UACAGAGGUCCCAAGCGUUGUCCGGAUUUACUGGGCGUAAAGAGCGCGCAGGCGGUCGUUCAAGUCGCGUGUGAAAGCCCCCCGGCUCAACUGGGGAGGGUCAUUCGAUACUGUUCGACUCGAAGGCAGGAGAGGGAAGUGGAAUUCCGGGUGUAGUGGUGAAAUGCGUAGAUAUCCGGAGGAACACCAGUGGCGAAGGCGACUUUCUGGCCUGUUCUUGACGCUGAGGCGCGAAAGCUAGGGGAGCAAACGGG
rnacentral:rRNA from 1 species